rnacentral:rRNA from 1 species
UACGUAGGGGGCGAGCGUUGUCCGGAAUCAUUGGGCGUAAAGCGCGUGUAGGCGGUUCGGUAAGUCUGCUGUGAAAGUCCAGGGCUCAACCCUGGGAUGCCGGUGGAUACUGCCGAACUAGAGUGCGGAAGAGGCGAGUGGAAUUCCCGGUGUAGCGGUGAAAUGCGCAGAUAUCGGGAGGAACACCAAUUGCGAAGGCAGCUCGCUGGGACGUGACUGACGCUGAGACGCGAAAGCGUGGGGAGCAAACAGGAUUAGAUACCCUAGUAGUCC